rnacentral:rRNA from 1 species
AGAGUUUGAUCAUGGCUCAGAAUCAACGCUGGCGGCGCGCUUAACACAUGCAAGUCGCACGAGAAAGUGGAGCAAUCCAUGAGUAAAGUGGCGUACGGGUGAGUAACACGUGGAUAAUCUACCUCUUAGUGGGGAAUAACCAAGGGAAACCGUGGCUAAUACCGCAUAAGCUCGAGAGAGGAAAGCAGCAAUGCGCUGAGAGAGGAGUCCGCGGCCGAUUAGCUAGUUGGCAGGGUAAAAGCCUACCAAGGCAUAGAUCGGUAGCCGGCCUGAGAGGGCACACGGCCACACUGGCACUGAAACACGGGCCAGACUCCUACGGGAGGCAGCAGUGGGGAAUCUUGCACAAUGGGGGGAACCCUGAUGCAGCGACGCCGCGUGAGCGAUGAAGCCCUUCGGGGUGUAAAGCUCUUUCGGCAGGGAAGAUAAUGACGGUACCUGCAGAAGCAGCUGCGGCUAACUACGUGCCAGCAGCCGCGGUA